GAUGAACGCUGGCGGCGCGCCUAACACAUGCAAGUCGAACGAUUAAAGCACCUUCGGGUGUGUAUAAAGUGGCGAACGGCUGAGUAACACGUGGGCAACCUGCCCCUCUCAUUGGGAUAGCCACGGGAAACCGUGGAUAAUACCGAAUACUUCGGGACUUCCGCAUGGAAGACUCGAGAAAGCUCCGGCGGAGAGGGAUGGGCCCGCGGCCUGUUAGCUUGUUGGUGGGGUAACGGCCUACCAAGGCAAUGAUGGGUAGCUGGGUUGAGAGACCGACCAGCCAGAUUGGGACUGAGACACGGCCCAGACUCCUACGGGAGGCAGCAGUGGGGAAUCUUGCACAAUGGGCGAAAGCCUGAUGCAGCGACGCCGCGUGCGGGAUGAAGGCCUUCGGGUUGUAAACCGCUUUCAGCAGGGACGAGGCGAAAGUGACGGUACCUGCAGAAGAAGCCCGGCU
rnacentral:rRNA from 2 species